rnacentral:sRNA from 1 species
CUGAGAUUCCUAGAGGCUGCUCGGGAAGCCCGUGGAACCCAGGACUGUGGCUGGCGGAGUUCUCUGCCAUGCUUCAUCCUGGGGCCAGUGCCUCCGUGCCAAGCAACCCAAAGGGACAGGACUUCCAGGCCUCCAGGGGAGAAAAAAGUGACACCUUUGCCCUGCAUUUGACUAAGGCAAGGGUCAGGGAUCAAAGCUGAGGCAGCGGGAAGCAGGGUGGCAGGAGCUGGUGGCUGCUGGUGGGCGGGUAUGGACAGGGAGGUGGGCAACAGAGAGGUACAGCCCACCCCAUACACAGCCUCCUUCCACCAAGGCCCCGCCUGAUUCCUUGGCUUUCCACACCGCCAGCCCACCUGGAACAUGGGCAAAGCUCACAUUCUCCCAAGAUGGUUGCCAGAAAGAUGCUGGACUCUGCUCUUAACCUUGGUUUUGUACCCAGGCUCUUCUUGUAGAUAUCAAACUGGACCUACUCACAGUCACUCCAGAUGCUGCAAGCCAGCCCCUCAUUGACCUCCCUCUCAUCGACUUCUGCAAUACCCCAGAAGCAAACGUGGCUGUGGGAUCUGAAAGCAGGCCUCUGAUUGACCUCAUGAUAAACACUCCAGACAUGAAUAAAAAUGUGGCCAAACCUUCACCGGUGGUGGGACAGCUCAUAGAUCUGAGCUCGCCUCUGAUCCAGCUGAGCCCUGAGGCUGACAAGGAGAACGUGGAUUCCCCACUCCUCAAGUUCUAAGCAGAACCAAAUCCUUUGGCUU